rnacentral:tRNA from 1 species
UCCCUGGUAGCUCAGUUGGUAAGGAACCUGCCUGCAAUGCAGAAGGCCCUGGUUCGAUUCCUGGGUUGGGAA